UACGAAGGGGGCUAGCGUUGCUCGGAAUCACUGGGCGUAAAGCGCACGUAGGCGGCUUUCUAAGUCAGGGGUGAAAUCCUGGAGCUCAACUCCAGAACUGCCUUUGAUACUGGAGAGCUUGAGUCCGGAAGAGGUGAGUGGAACUCCGAGUGUAGAGGUGAAAUUCGCAGAUAUCAGGAGGAACACCGAUGGCGAAGGCAGCUCGCUGGGACGGUACUGACGCUGAGGCGCGAAAGCGUGGGGAGCAAACAGG
rnacentral:rRNA from 1 species